rnacentral:tRNA from 1 species
UGGAGUGUAGUUCAAUUGGCAGAUACGCCUGACUGUUAAUCAGGAAGUUGGAGGUUCGAGUCCUCUCACUCCAGCCA